rnacentral:tRNA from 1 species
AUUUAUAUAGUAUAAAAGUAUAUAUGACUUCCAAUCAUAAGGUUUAUUUUAUUAAAUAAUAU